rnacentral:rRNA from 1 species
AUACGUAGGGUGCGAGCGUUGUCCGGAAUUACUGGGCGUAAAGAGCUCGUAGGUGGUUUGUCGCGUCGUCUGUGAAAUUCCGGGGCUUAACUCCGGGCGUGCAGGCGAUACGGGCAUAACUUGAGUACUGUAGGGGAGACUGGAAUUCCUGGUGUAGCGGUGAAAUGCGCAGAUAUCAGGAGGAACACCGGUGGCGAAGGCGGGUCUCUGGGCAGUAACUGACGCUGAGGAGCGAAAGCAUGGGUAGCAAACAGGAUUAGAUACCCUGGUAGUCCAUGCCGUAAACGGUGGGCGCUAGGUGUAGGGGUCUUCCACGACUUCUGUGCCGUAGCUAACGCAUUAAGCGCCCCGCCUGGGGAGUACGGCCGCAAGGCUAAAACUCAAAGGAAUUGACGGGG